UCAUAUGCUUGUCUCAAAGAUUAAGCCAUGCAUGUCUAAGUACAUGCCGUAUUAAGGCGAAACCGCGAAUGGCUCAUUAAAUCAGUUAUGGUUCCUUGGAUCGUACUUCACUACUUGGAUAACUGUGGCAAUUCUAGAGCUAAUACAUGCAGCARAGCUCCGACCUUCGGGGACGAGCGCUUUUAUUAGACCAAAACCAAUCGGACCUCGUGUCCGUCCUUCGUGGUGACUCUGUAUAACUUUGGGCUGAUCGCACGGGCCCGUCCCGGCGACGUAUCUUUCAAGUGUCUGCCUUAUCAACUUUCGAUGGUAGGUUACGCGCCUACCAUGGUCAUAACGGGUAACGGGGAAUCAGGGUUCGAUUCCGGAGAGGGAGCCUGAGAAACGGCUACCACAUCCAAGGAAGGCAGCAGGCGCGCAAAUUACCCACUCCCAGAACGGGGAGGUAGUGACGAAAAAUAACAAUACGGGACUCUUUUGAGACCCCGUAAUUGGAAUGAGUACACUCUAAAUCCUUUAACGAGGAUCUAUUCGAGGGCAAGUCUGGUGCCAGCCGCCGCGGUAAUUCCAGCUCGAAUAGCGUAUAUUAAAGUUGUUGCGGUUAAAAAGCUCGUAGUUGGAUCUCAGUUCCAGACGGGUGGUCCGCCAAACGGUGGUUACUGCCCGUUCUGAACAGCCAGCCGGUUUCUCUUGAUGAUCUUCACCGGUUGUCUCGGGUGACCGGCAAGUUUACUUUGAAAAAAUUAGAGUGCUCAAAGCAGGCGCGACGCCUGAAUAAUGGUGCAUGGAAUAAUGGAAUAGGACCUCGGUUCUAUUUUGUUGGUUUUCGGAACACGAGGUAAUGAUUAAGAGGGACAGAC
rnacentral:rRNA from 1 species